UACGGAGGGUGCGAGCGUUGUCCGGAAUCACUGGGCGUAAAGGGCGCGUAGGCGGCCUGAUAAGUAGGGUGUGAAAUCCUGCGGCUUAACCGCAGGGCUGCCUUCUAAACUGUCGGGCUCGAGCACAGUAGAGGCAGGUGGAAUUCCCGGUGUAGCGGUGGAAUGCGUAGAUAUCGGGAGGAACACCGGUGGCGAAGGCGGCCUUCUGGACGGAUACUGACGCCGAUACGCGAAAGCGUGGGGAGCAAACAGG
rnacentral:rRNA from 1 species